rnacentral:rRNA from 1 species
ACGGAGGAUGCAAGCGUUAUCCGGAUUCAUUGGGUUUAAAGGGUGCGCAGGCGGAUUGGUAAGUCAGGGGUGAAAUCCCACAGCUCAACUGUGGAACUGCCUUUGAUACUGUCAGUCUAGAGUAUAGUUGAAGUUGGCGGAAUGUGUCAUGUAGCGGUGAAAUGCUUAGAUAUGACACAGAACACCGAUCGCGAAGGCAGCUAGCUAAGCUAUAACUGACGCUCAUGCACGAAAGCGUGGGGAUCAAACAG